AUUUAUAAUAAACUUAUAGGUGUUUUACAAACUUAAUAAGGAAAUCGGUUAAAAUCCGAUACAGCCACCUCUACUGUGAAACUGACGAAAAUAUGCAAAGCCACUGGAAUAUAAAAUAUUUCGGGAAGGAUAUGAGUAGGAUGAAGUUAGUCAGGAGACUUGCCUAUAUAAGAUUACAUUU
rnacentral:ncRNA from 2 species